rnacentral:misc_RNA from 1 species
AAGUCGUAACAAGGUUUCCGUAGGUGAACCUGCGGAAGGAUCAUUAACACGUAUCCAACGUAUCCACCCCUGUGGUCCUGUGCGCGUCUAUACACGAAGUGAUAGUCACUACUUCUCAACCUGCGCGGUUGCGAAUGAAGGUCACAUAAAAGCACCUGAGUAUCCCGCGAGGGUACUGGUGUUCUUAUGGUAUCAUGUGCUUAUCCGCACUCUUUGGAGUGCAGCUUUGGGUAGCAGACGUUUUAACCAACCAUUUAACCCAAACUGCUCUAAUAUAGAAAUAAGUAUGGUGUGCCCUGCUUUAUUUCGACUUACGAAAUGUUACAACUCUUAACAACGGAUAUCUUGGUUCUC